rnacentral:tRNA from 1 species
GGUGUAGCGUAGCCCGGUAUCGCGCCUGCUUUGGGAGCAGGAGGUCGUAGGUUCGAAUCCUGCCACC